GCUCUGUUCUGCCCUCAUUACAUAACAGGAAGCGGGGAGUGGGGAGGGGGGACCACAUACAAAUAGAAAUCAUACUACUUUGGACAUUUAUCUUUGGAUUUCACUCCCAAGUAAAGACAGUACAAGGAACAAAAGAAAACAUUCUUAAUUGUCCUUUUAUUAUUUAACAAAAUGAAGCACUAUAACCCACGUUGUCAAAGGCAAGACCAUUUUUAGGCAUCUUUCUCCUCUCCCUGUUGUGCUUCUCCUGGGAGAAUAAAGUCAUCACGGUUUCUUACACAGUUUCUUUUGUCAAGGCAAAGGAAAAUUAUUAAGGUCUUAUCUGACCAGGGACCCUCUUAUUUGGGCCAUCUGUCUUUUUGUGCUUUCUUCAGGGAAUACAAGAAAGAACUUUUUUUCCCCCCCUCUCAUUAAGUGUUUUAUGAGAUUGUGUGUUAAGCCAUAUUUUAAGAAUUUGAACAAGCAGAGACCUUGCCACUUUGAACAUUUUUUUUUUCUUUUCCUUUUGUGCUGGCCAUUUCAGUUGGAGAAAUCACACGUUUUUUUCCCUCUAAUAAUAUUAAGGGAAAGGCUAUCUGAAGAUUACUGCUCUCAAGGCCACUUUUGCUCUCCUAUUAUUGUUCUUACUUCAAGGAUGUGAUCUCAGGAUUGAUGUACACAGAAGCCAAACCUGCCAGGUGGACACUCACAGAAAAUUAAAUGGCAUUCACCCACUCCCCAAAUGGCCAAUUGAAGCUAUGCCGAGAAACUUUUUUCUUCAGAAACAUUUUAUAAGAUUAAUUCUUCAUGAAACAUGUAGUGGAAAGCACUUACUUUUAUGGGUUAGAUCUGGAAUAUCCCCCAAAGGAUCUUGUGUUGAAAGCUUGCUCUCCAGUUCAGCAAUAUUCA